CCCAGAUUCGUUGGUUGCCCAUGUGGCAUUCUAUUGUACACAGAUAUUCUGGCCCUGUUUCCUGUACCACAUAUCAACAGGAGAGGCUGGACCAGGCUUCGUUGCAUUAAUAUGAUCAGAGGAUGCUAGGUAUCAGGAGAAAGAAGAGAUGCUUUGUAACAGAGCAGCCUGCAGCCUGUUGAGAACCUAAACUGGAAACAAUGAAAGGAUAAGUACAGUGGAUGAGACACAUUUAUGAGGAUUACUCAUGCAGUAGGACAUCACUGAGAUCAACAGGUGAUAUUGUGAAGCAAAGUGGUAAGUGUGGCUCUGUCUACAGAGGAAUGAUGUGGAUACUAGCAGACAGAGAGCUCCUUUCCAAACACUGGUUCCCACUUUCUCAGCAGUCCAUACGGCAUAUUUUGAAAGAGAGGAUGAUAACAUACUUAUGGAGGAAAGGCUAGAUGCCAGUAAUUUUG
rnacentral:lncRNA from 1 species